UGCAAGUCGAGCGCGAAAACACUUCGGUGUGAGUAGAGCGGCGGACGGGUGAGUAAUGCUUGGGAAUCUGCCCAGUAGUGGGGGAUAACGUGUGGAAACGCACGCUAAUACCGCAUACGUCCUACGGGAGAAAGCAGGGGAUCUUCGGACCUUGCGCUAUUGGAUGAGCCCAAGUCAGAUUAGCUAGUUGGUGGGGUAAUGGCCUACCAAGGCGACGAUCUGUAGCUGGUCUGAGAGGAUGAUCAGCCACACUGGGACUGAGACACGGCCCAGACUCCUACGGGAGGCAGCAGUGGGGAAUAUUGGACAAUGGGCGGAAGCCUGAUCCAGCCAUGCCGCGUGUGUGAAGAAGGCUCUAGGGUUGUAAAGCACUUUCAGUAGGGAGGAAAAGCUUAAGGUUAAUAACCUUGAGCCCUGACGUUACCUACAGAAGAAGCACCGGCAAACUCCGUGCCAGCAGCCGCGGUAAUACGGAGGGUACGAACGUUAAUCGGAAUUACUGGGCGUAAAGCGCGCGUAGGCGGUUUGAUAAGUGGGAUGUGAAAGCCCCGGGCUCAACCUGGGAACUGCAUUCCAAACUGUCAAACUAGAGUGUGGUAGAGGGCGGUAGAAUUUCCUGUGUAGC
rnacentral:rRNA from 1 species